rnacentral:rRNA from 1 species
GAUGAACGCUGGCGGCGUGCCUAAUACAUGCAAGUAGAACGCUGAAGGAAGGAGCUUGCUCUUUCCGGAUGAGUUGCGAACGGGUGAGUAACGCGUAGGUAACCUGCCUGGUAGCGGGGGAUAACUAUUGGAAACGAUAGCUAAUACCGCAUAACAGUAGAUGUUGCAUGAUAUCUACUUAAAAGGUGCAAUUGCACCACUACCAGAUGGACCUGCGUUGUAUUAGCUAGUUGGUGAGGUAACGGCUCACCAAGGCGACGAUACAUAGCCGACCUGAGAGGGUGAUCGGCCACACUGGGACUGAGACACGGCCCAGACUCCUACGGGAGGCAGCAGUAGGGAAUCUUCGGCAAUGGACGGAAGUCUGACCGAGCAACGCCGCGUGAGUGAAGAAGGUUUUCGGAUCGUAAAGCUCUGUUGUAAGAGAAGAACGAGUGUGAGAGUGGAAAGUUCACACUGUGACGGUAGCUUACCAGAAAGAGACGGCUAACUACGUG